rnacentral:misc_RNA from 1 species
GUAAAUGAUGGUCCAAUUCCAAUUCCCAUUGGCAUGCCAUGCAUAUGUGGUAGAGAAGGAACAUUAGGUUGAAAAUAGAAGGAACCAUCUGGCGACGGAGGCCUAACAGGAGUUUGGGAAGGGGUGAAACUCUUGGCAUUGGGAUUUAGUUUGAAUUCCUUAGCAUGGGGAUUUAGUGUCGACUUCUCCGAAGAUAACGAACCCACUGAUGAGCUUGGUGAUAACCCAGGACCAUUGGAAACUGAGACAGCACCUACACAAUCAGAAUUUGAUGAUGUAGAACUGCCAGGUCGUCCACGAGAGUUUAAAGGUUGCACUUCUCGAGCUCUUUUGACAGAUAGAGAACCUUCUGACAGUUCAGCACAAGAGCUUGUCUUUUCAUAACUUUUGGAAGAAGCAUUAGAUGGAGCAUAAGCAGUUGCAUUUGGGGAUAGUGCCCCUUUAUCAGAGCCAUCUUUCUUCCCAUUCAAUGACUGAGAAUCCUCACGAGUUAGCAAUUGAGCCUCCUCAACAGUUCGCUCUUCUACAAACUCCUUCACGCUGUCAUUUCCUUCAUGUUCACCAUGAAGGUUCUUCUCUUGGAUCCUGCUUUCACACCCUGAGGUGGACAAACUUUUCAAAGGAAUCUCAGAUGCCAGCUGUCUAGCAUACUCACAAGAACCUGUAUCACAAUCUGCACCAGUACAUGACUGAGAACACUGUGCCUCAUCCAAGGAAGAACUUGAUAAAACACGAGCUCCUUCAUUACUUUUCCCAUGGGUCAAAUCUUCAGACUCGAUAGUGUAAGAAACAGAUGUAGCUCCAAAGGUUUCAUUAUUGUGGGAAUCCAACAUUAUAUCCUCCGUUUCAUCAUAUCCACUAUCAUCAAUCCCUAUACCUCUAUAUACAGAAGAGAAUCUGGUCUCUUCAUCGAUAUCCAAAUUUUCAUGAAGGUGGAUGCCUCUUUCCUCAGCUAAAUGAAGGUCUUG